AGUGAACGCUGGCGGUAGGCCUAACACAUGCAAGUCGAACGGCAGCACAGUAAGAGCUUGCUCUUACGGGUGGCGAGUGGCGGACGGGUGAGGAAUACAUCGGAAUCUACUUUUUCGUGGGGGAUAACGUAGGGAAACUUACGCUAAUACCGCAUACGACCUACGGGUGAAAGCAGGGGAUCUUCGGACCUUGCGCGAUUGAAUGAGCCGAUGUCGGAUUAGCUAGUUGGCGGGGUAAAGGCCCACCAAGGCGACGAUCCGUAGCUAGUCUGAGAGGAUGUAGGAACCAAAGGGAAAUGGAACACGGUCCGACACCCCACGGGGGGCAGCAGUGGGGAAGUUUGGAAAAGGGGCGGAAACCUAAACCAGUCAAAACGGGGGGGAAAAGAAACCCCUCGGGUUGUAAAGCCUUUUUUGGGGGAAAAAAAAGCAGCAGGUUAAAACCCCGUUGUUCUGACGGUACCAAAAAAAAAAGCACCGGCUAACUUCGU
rnacentral:rRNA from 1 species